CUGGGGCAUCACAGAUGUGAAAACAUUGGAAUGAUACAGAGAUUAUCAUGGCCCCUGCACCAGAUAACUUGAACCUUCAUGAAGCUUUCCAUAUUUGA
ensembl:snRNA U6 U6 spliceosomal RNA